rnacentral:rRNA from 1 species
CAGUCGCCGCGGGAAAACGAAGGGGGCUAGCGUUGCUCGGAAUUACUGGGCGUAAAGGGCGCGUAGGCGGACAGUUCAGUCGGGGGUGAAAGCCCGGGGCUCAACCUCGGAAUUGCCUUCGAUACUGGCUGUCUUGAGUAUGAGAGAGGUGUGUGGAACUCCGAGUGUAGAGGUGAAAUUCGUAGAUAUUCGGAAGAACACCAGUGGCGAAGGCGACACACUGGCUCAUUACUGACGCUGAGGCGCGAAAGCGUGGGGAGCAAACAGGAUUAGAGACCCCGGUAGUCCCUGUCUCUUAUAC